AUCGGGGAAUAAACCUCAUUACGUGUAGUGAGUUGAAGGUACCCGAAGAAUAAGGAUCGGCUAACUCCGUGACCUAGCAGCCGCGGUAAUACGGAGGAUCCAAGCGUUAUCCGGAUUUAUUGGGUUUAAAGGGUGCGUUAGGCGGUUUAUUAAGUCAGUGGUGAAAGCCCGGAGCUCAACUUCGGAACUGCCAUUGAUACUGAUAGACUUGAGUACAGAUGAAGUGGGCGGAAUGUGACAAGUAGCGGUGAAAUGCUUAGAUAUGUCACAGAACACCGAUUGCGAAGGCAGCUCACUAAAGUGUAACUGACGCUGAGGCACGAAAGCGUGGGGAUCAAACAGGAUUAGAUACCCUGGUAGUCCACGCCCUAAACGAUGAUUACUCGCUGUUAGCGAUAUACAGUUAGCGGCUAAGCGAAAGCGUUAAGUAAUCCACCUGGGGAGUACGGUCGCAAGAUUG
rnacentral:rRNA from 1 species